ACCAGCAAGGCCUGGGAGAUGUGGGACAGCCUCCUUCCCCUCAGCCUUGACCCCUGGGCCCGGAUUCUAGUGAGACAAGGAAGGUGGCUGGGAAAGGCUGACUCCAGGGAGGGGGUGGGGGGCUGUUUAGCAGCUGGCAGAGCCCCUGAGACUCCCCAGACGUGAUGCCCUGCUCCACCCAGGCUGUGCCAGGCUGUUCAGAUGAGAAGAUGAGCCGAUGGGGGAAGUGGGGAGGAAGGGGGUGAGAGGAACCCAAUGGGCCCCCUAGCCUCCUGACCUAUCUCCAAAGGGGGCCUACAGGGCCCCGCGAAGCAGGCGGGCUUUGACUUCUGAGAAGUUAAAGGGCCAGUCCCAUCAAGGGGCAAUUCUCGGCAACCAGAGGCCAAGCAAGAACAGUCCCCCAAGCGAGGCUCUGACAGGUGCUGGCUUUUUCUGGUGACCCAAAUUACAGUCCCCUGAAAAGCCCUCCUGAGAGUCUGGGCUCAACCUGAAGCACACAGGCCCCGAGCUGACAGGGACAUGCUUUGGGAAGAGGUGAAAUUGGCUGUGCUGGUGGGACUGUGUGCUGGGGGCCGUGAACCUCCAGCUGUGAGCUGGGUCCCAGGAAAUUCACAGUUUCCUGAGAGAGCACUGCCAGCCCCGUGGCUAGGCCUCCGUUUGCCUGCUGGAGAGCCCAUAAACGUCUAUUCAAACACAGCGAGGAAGGAAUAUUUGUCAAGGCCCUGGGAAGGCUCUGACCUCAGCUCUUCCCCACGGCACAGGACAGGGCCUCCUUCACAGAACAGCAGUGUCAGUCCCAGGCAAUGGAUGGAUGGAUGGAUGGAUGGAUGUACAGAUGCAUGGAUCUGGAGAACUGGCACUAAGAUCUGAGCUUCUCCAGUGAUAAUGUUGAUCAAAGCCAGCAUUUGCUGAACCUACACUGUGGGCCAGUCUACUCACCUAAUGUACUCUACUUCCGAGAGGAAGGGACCAUUAUUAUAAUCUUCUACUGCUUUGACUGACCACAGAGUUCGGACUGGGAAAAGCUCUAUCAUUGUUCCAGUACCUCAUGAGAAGAGAGGCGGGGCAGGUGUCCGUCAGGUGCUGCCUCCAUCUGCCCAGCCCACUGCUUUGAGCCUGAUAUGAGGAGCGUUGAUGGGAGAUCUGGAAAGCUUCCUUCUGCCAACUCUGGGAAGUCCGAGGUCUCAUCUGAGAGGCCUGGUCAGGCCCUGUGGAAAGACAUCACCAGCCCCGUGAGCAAUUACAGGUCUGAAGGGCUUGGGCUGCGAUGGGAUUCUCACUCUGCCUCAUGGAGGACAGCCUGUCCCAGCCUGGCGUCCUGCGGUCUGGCCUGUUUCCCUGUGGACACACUGUACACACAUGUAGGGCUACCAUGGCACAACUCUGGGGGCACUGCCAACAUGGGACACAUGUGGCCAUGCUGGGGACACACAGACACACGUGUCAGUCUUGUCACUGUGCACCCCUUCCUCGCCAUAUCUCAAGACUCCCAAUACAUGAAAAUCCAACUUGAUUAAAAGUAACAGGCAGCGAUCUCACCUACCCUCAAAGCUAAUGGCUUCCCCCAGGGCGUUUGAAAUGGGUCCAUUUACAUCUGACUUUUCAGGACCGUAUCCAGCUCUAUCGAGUGAGGUGCACCUGUGCUCUGAUGACUCACAUGUACUUUCAGGUUUGCUAAGGGCCAGGGCAGCUGCCGAUCGCUGGUGGAUUUAUGACUCAGGGUCAGGAAUCCAUAAAUCAUCUUCAUCCCCUGGAAGGGUGAUUAUGCAUUAGGUUGAAAGAAGCCUUGGCUGCAGGUGUCUUUGGCAAACCCUGGUCAAAGCUGUGCACCAUCAGACGAGGAAAUUCCAGCAUUCUACUGGUCCCCUCGAGGUGGCAAGGGCUGCCACCCAGAAAGACUUGAAUGCAACUCUGUGAUGACCUAACCCCGGCAGUGAAUUUACUGAACUGUGCGUCAAUGCUACAUACAGAAUCUUGGCUCCUUCUCUGUGGGGGCCCAUGGGGGCAACUGGCAUGAGUGAAGAUCUAGAAUCGGUGUUGGAGAUCACCCAAAGAAACCCACACAUCCUCUAGACGAGGAGAUAGGUCCAGAAAGACAUUAUCUGGUUUAACAGCACAUGAAGGGCAAUGCCAGGACCCCACCCUUGGUCUUCUAAGCCUGGCCCAUGUCCUGGAGCCCUCCCCGACACAGCUCCCUCUCCAGAACAGAAAGAAGCCCAAGACAGUGACUCAGAACCCCCUUGGCAGUUUUGCUGAUAAAUUUUUUGUUUUGAAGUGAGAUGUUCUGCCUCUAUUAAAGUCUU